rnacentral:rRNA from 1 species
UACGUAGGUGGCAAGCGUUGUCCGGAUUUACUGGGCGUAAAGAGCGCGCAGGCGGUCGACCAAGUCGAGUGUGAAAGCCCCCGGCUCAACUGGGGAGGGUCAUUCGAUACUGAUCGACUCGAAGGCAGGAGAGGGUAGUGGAAUUCCCGGUGUAGUGGUGAAAUGCGUAGAUAUCCGGAGGAACACCGGCGGCGAAGGCGGCUUCCUGGACCGACACUGACGCUGAGGCGCGAAAGCUAGGGGAGCAAACGGG